AUAUUUACCUAGACGGGGUCUAUGAGUGAUCAUGAAGGCUCAUGGCCUAGGUGUGUGGUCUCCAUUGCACUUAGGAGAGGUGCUUGCCUAACAUCUCCCCAAGUGGGAGAGUGUAUGUCAUAAUUUGUUGUAGUGAGGGCCUGCAAAAUUUUGGGUAAGGCCUACU